rnacentral:tRNA from 1 species
GGAAUUGUGGCUUAGUGGUAGAGUGCUUGCCUAACAUGCAUGAAGCCCUGGGUUCAAUUCCUCACUACCA